GACUUUCUCGACUCGUCGUCAGCCGGGGCCGCAGCGCGGCCGGUGGGGACUGCGGGGCGGGCCGGAGUCCGUCCGAGGGCUCCCGCACCUCGGGCUGCGGGUGAGUCGGCUUUAGGCGCCGUGGGCUCAAGUGGUUUAGGGCACCUGGGCUUGGGAAGAAGUCGUGGAGAGAGCCUUUAAUACUUUAUGGAGCUGGCGGGGAGAACAAAUAAAAUUGCGGUAGCUUGAAGGGCACUGACAUGCCACUGACUUGGGAACCGUAUCCGUGGGAACUCUUCGGGUGCCGGCGCGACCAAGGGCCUGUGCGCGGCUGGGUGGGAGAUGGAAAGGUUAGAAGGUCGCGGACUAGCCCUGCCUGCGACUGGCUCAGCUUGACCUUGGACCAGUGACUUUACCACUUAGAUUUUUCUCGUGGGUAAUAUGUGGGGCCACAGCAACGUGGUCUAUGCUGUCGUCCAGUUUUUAGACUACAUCUCCGUUUUUGAGAUUUUCCUAGGGCCUCAACACGGUGCGCGAGUUAUCAAGCGAUAGGCCAGGAUAUGUUUACAUGCGCCUGGAUUCACCUUUCAGCCUACUCAGAAGUAACUUUUAAGUCUGAUGUUUUAAAACACUAACAUUUAAAGGCUUUCCUUCACUAUCCAUUGCUUAUUUUACGAACCUUAGGAUUGUCGUAUUUUGCUGCACCAUUUGGAAUCCUAGGGGCCAGGGUGGGGACAGAGAGCCAAGUCUGAGGGUGAAGUGGCAGGUGCCCCCGGGCGAUCCCUGCCGGAUCCAGUUGAGGGGGAGAACAAAGCAUUUAUUAUGCAUAAGAGAGAGUGAACAGGGCAGGUGUUUGUGUUUUUGUUUUCUGUAUUAUACUGAAAACUUUUUUUGGUUGGGGGGGUGCGGGCAGUGGAGGAGGGGACAAAGAAGAAAAAGAAAUGUCAAAAAAGAGAGGAAAAUGUCACUUAUACCCAAAGUAAAUCUUAAAACUAAUGUAAGUCUUCCUUACAGGAACAGCAACACAUAAUGCAAGUACAUCUUGAUCUAAUUUUAAUGAAGGAUUGAAAAUAGCUACUGUGUUCAGUAUUACUGACGCCAAGGCAGCUCACUUACAUAAUCUUCUUUGUUGAGAUGUGUUAGUGGCAUGUAUAAUUUUGAUAAAUAAUUAAUGUUAAAGGUUUAGUCCGGCAAUGGUAUUGAAAUAUUGUCGUCACAGAUUGUAUUGCAAGACAAUGGUGUGUAAACUUUUGGUUAUCAUGAUAACCUGCAUUUUUUUCUCUAAACAGUAAAAUCACACAUUUUUCAUAACCAAAAUUCUCUUAAAUAAUGCAUGUGUACUUUGUCAGUAGUGUAUACAGGAGAAAUUAUUUUGUUCUGUAAAUGACAAAGUCUUUCAGUUUUCUCACCAUUUCAUGAGAGUGAAUUCUAGAUUUCAGGUACUCCACUGGGCAUUUUCUCUUCAUGGAGCUUAUAGCAACAAAAGUGUUUUACAAAAGUAAGUGCAUAAGUAUAGAUACUCAACCAAUAUUUGCUGAAUAAAAUACUCAGAUGACAAUAAUUAAAAGUCCAUCUUGUUCAUCCUUAAAGAGAAUGAUGAUCAUGCUUUAGUGGAGAGAAUGAAAGUAUCAAAGAAAGAACUGGCAGAAAAACAGAGCUUAGUUCCAGUAUCUAGCCUAAAUGUUUAUGCUUUAAAACAGGUAUACGCAUUUGAAAAGAGACAAAGACAAGUGAUAGGGUUUCUAGGAGAAAGAUAGCAGUAUUGAUUUAACGUAGUACAUUUUAUGACCUAGUUUUGUUUGAAGAACACGAACGUUUGUAAAGGUAUAUUUCUUAAAUAAUCAGUAGCUGUUUGCAUUGUGAUUGGAUGUCUAAUUAAAUGGCCUAAUCGUAACCAUAAUAUCUCACUUGAAUGCUGUUUUUAAAUUCAUUUUUAAAAUAGCUUGAAAUAAACCAAUUUAGUUACAUGAAGGAAAGUAUACCUUUUGAAAUCAAAAUCCACAGUGAGGAAAAAUUAUUGUCAGUGUAUCACCAAAUGUAAAUUAAGCACUGGAAGUAGCAUCUUGCCAAGAAGGUCUUCACUCUAGACAAUCACUUUGUGUAGAAGAGGUAUAAUGUGGAAUGUGGACUGCAGUGAGAGAUGCCCUUAUUCCUCUGAGGGUCUAUUUGGUGACAUCAGGAAAAUACUAACGCCCCCCCACCACUUCACCAUUUGUAAACCUGGCAACUUCUGGAAAGCCUAGUGGCCUUAUUUCAAAGUAACCACUCAACCUAGAACUUAGCAUUGAUAUUUGAACAGGCUAUUUUUGUAGAAUAUGGGUUCUCCUCUGUGCAGAUUUGCUGGCUGGGCUAUCUUGUAAGAGAUCACAGCAGUUUAUCUCAGAGUGUAGUCCUUAGAUCACCUGUGUCAGAAUCACCUGUAGUGCUUACAAAACUUCAAAAUCCUGGGCACAUCCCACAUUUACAUAAUCAGAAUGUCUGUGAACAGAACCUAGAAUUUCUGUUCAUAAAACCCAUUUAUGCCUAGUGUUCCAUUAUUGGAAUGCUGAGCUUGUGGGAGUUAUUUAUAUCCUACGGCUCGAGGUCAUUGCCAAGGUCUGAUUUUUCGCAAAAAAAUGUGCAACCUCUGGCAUAAAUGGGUUAAUGAACUCCUUCAGAAGUGAGAGUUAAUUACACUAAAUUUUAAGAAUUAGUGUUAGAGUUUUCUUGCCACAGUUGUAAUGCUCAUGUUGCUUUCUUCCAGGAACAUUAAAAUCUCCCCAGAUGCUCACUGCUCUGAUCAUUUCCCCUACAGCACCAGACAUGUUGGCAUCAUCUCUUAGUUGGGCCAUGUGGCCAGGGAACCCUUCAUGAAACCACCUCUGCAGUCCUGGAGAGUUGCUGUAGAAGAAGGAAAAGAGAGGAAGACAACACAACACAGGAGGGGAUAAGUACCUCUGGACACAAUGGAAGUAGUAGUUGUUGAGCAGAGGGAAAGGGAUAGGAGAAGGAUGUGGACUGCAGUGCUGCAGUGCCAGGUAAUAACUUUGAUCAUGUACCUCCUUGGCUCAGGUGCUGUCUCUUCUACUCUCCUCCUUACUUGUACUACCUUAUUUAGCACUUAAUUAUAUACUUUCUUGACUCACUUUGAGACACACUGAUUAUGUGGUCUGCCUCAAAGACAGAAUCCUAGUUUUGGAUUUUAGCAUUACUGAUCUAUAGCCUUGCAGGGGCUUAAGGAUGGCAGCUGUCUCUCUCCCUUGGGAUCUAGCUUUUGCAAAUAUUGAAGGGAAGAGAUUUCUUUGAUCUUAUAGGAAUAGAUCCACAGUUCCUCUCCAGAUUUGCUUUUAUAGAGAAGUGUGUGUCACCAAAACAAUGGAGAUACGGUCAGAGAGGCCCCUACCCCCAGAAUUUUAAUAUAAUUUUACUUUCUGGGGCAUUUAUUCUUGACAAAUACUUUCUCUCCUAUCAGCUCACUUGUUCCUCACAAAAACCCUAUAAGAUAUUAAUAUUAUUAAACAGACCCCUAUGAAGCACCUCAAGUCUUUCUCUCUUCCCACUUCCAUUCUUGCACACCUUUUGCUAGACUAGUCUCUGCGUUCAUCACAUCAGGUUUCUAAAAUAAAAGUCCCCUAAUAACUUUCUAUUUGUUCUCUCAUCAUAUUGAACCUUUUUUGCCUGGCUUAUAAGGUGGCCUUAAAACCCCAUUUUCCUCUAAACAUUGUCUCUGUAGUUCAGGAAUAUGGCAGGCUCAACACUAUGCUUGAGCCCAUAUUGCUUCCCUCAUUAGUGAUGCCUCCUCUCAGACCACCCAGAUUCUACUCAUUCUUCAAUUUCCAGCUUCUCCUUGGAGCCUUCCCAGAUCAUUAGCUUCUUAAAAAUCCCAGCUUUCUCUGAAUUCUGAUGGUAGCCCCCGUUAUUUGGACAAUUAUGUCCUGGUCUUAAAGUCCUAAUGGGAAAAAAAAGUACAUGAUGGACUUCAUGUAGAGAAGAAAGCACUGGACUGAGUUUUAAGACAGCUGCUAAGGAGCUGUGUGAGCCAAACCAGGUUACUUUACCUCUCUGGAUCUAUAUUUGCUGAUCUGUUAAGUGGAGACAAUUGGGUCAGAUAAUCUUGGUGGUCUUUGCUUAUUCUGAGGUUCUUGGACAACUUGGCCUAGUUCACGUGGGAUGGGAUUGAAGAUCUUACUGAGUUCUUGGAUGGAAAUGUCAGUAAUGGGCACUUAGUGCCUUCAGGACUUGUUCUAUACUAUCCCAGAAAUUUCUGAUGCUAAACUUGGCAAUUUUUAAAUGUCAUAUUCCUUUUCUCCAAACUCUUUAACCACAAGAAUUCAGGGAAGGUUAUGGGGGGUGACUUAGUUAUCUGGAUAAUACAUAUUGUGGACAAUAUAGCAUUAUCCUUGGGAAUGAUUUCAUAUUGUUGAAUAAAUAGGAUCAACUUCUUGAUAAACCUUAGUCCCAAGCAUUUCAUCUUCAUUGGAUAGUGUUACAUAGUAAUAUAUUUAUGUUUUCUUUUAAUCAUUUCAUAACUUGGAAAAUACUAACAUAGUCAAAACUCUAGGGUAGGUGAUACAUGAGUUUCUGUAGUAAUCUGGUUGGAGACAUGUUGUAAUUCUGUAUAUAUAUGUACAUUUAUCCCAUGCAUGUUAUGCCUAAACUAAGACGGAUACCCCUGAAUUAAGAGGUGCUGUUAUACAUUGACCAGGCUUAAGAAUAUCUCUUUAAAGUGUGUCGACAUUUAAUUGACCUUUGGAAGUUCAUUCUGUUAAUCAUACUCAAAGUGCUAAAGCUAUGGUUGACUGCUCUGGUGUUUUUAUAUUCAUUCGUGCUUUAGCAUAUAAAUUCUUCAGCAUAAUUGCUACUUAUUUAGCAAGAGUUUCCUUUAUUUGAAAAUGUGAGUUGUGCUUGUAUUUUUGUGUCUUUCUUUCUUUCUUUCUUUUUUUAAACUUUGCUUCAGGCUGGGUAGUGGUAGAGGUUUGAAUUAAAAUGUUUUCCUGUCAGUAGUUGUAUGAGGUGUGGCUUCUUAAUCUAGAAGUAAUGGAAAUUUCUUGCUUAAAUGAAGUGCACUUUUCUUCCUGCAGAAGUUAGAACUCUUUUAGACAAGCUUAACACUUCAAAACUGUAUAUCUUUAACAGAAACUUUUGGAAAUUUUUAAAUUCCAUUUGUGUAGAUUAAAAAUAUCAAUGCUAAUACUUUCUAUUAAAUAAGGAUUUAUCUAUUUUCAUAAAACCUCUAAUUAUAUUCCUUGAAUUGCUAUGAGUAGAAUUUUGUUGUAAACACAAUAUUUUUAAAAAGUCAAAUAUAUUUUAAAAAUCUUAACAUUAUAUUACUAUAACUUAGAGAACAGGUGUUUACAUGUUUAAAAUUUUCUAGGCCUUAAAUUUGUGAAAUCAGUCUUUCAGAAGUUAUUUUUAAUAUAGUUAUCUGUGUUACAGGUUUAUAAGUUGACAUUUCAAUUUAAAAUUUUUUCAAUUUAUAUUUCAAUGACCAGGAAAAAAUAGUUAAACUUAUUCCUAAAUUUUAAUAGAAAAAUAAAAAACCACAUAGUUGUUAAUUUCUGGUAAUUUAUCUUGAGACUCCAGGCAUGUUUUUAGAACAUUUUUACCUUAAAAGCAAUUUUGAAAUAGGGAAAUUAAAGUUUAAAGCAGAGUUUUCACUUUAAUGAGGUAAUUUUAUACUUCCCAGAUAGGUAGGCCCAUAUUCAAGAACACUCUGAUCUCUGUUUAUAGUAAGUUUUGAUGCCAUUAUAUCAUUUACUUAUUCACGCAUUAUAAGCAUAGUAGAUAGCCCCAUUGUCACGAAGCUGGCAUUAUUUUCUUGUCUGUCAUUCAAUAUUGUCCCCUUUUUUUUUUCUGUUUUCAUCAUAGCCGUCCUUUUCAUUUUAUUGUAGCCCUGACUCGAAAUGAAAGUAAGUUUGAACUCUUAAAAAAGAGUUCCUCAAACUCUUUUUUAAGAAUAUACAGUGAAAUGUCUUAAAUAAUAUUAUCUAAAUAAUACCUAAAGAAUGCAAAUGACUUGCAAUGCUGAAUAGUCAGACACAGGAUGUUCCAUGCUAAGGGUAGACUCAUAUUUCCACUUUAUAAAAUGUGGUUUCAGAAAACAAAUAGAUGUGUUUCUUCCUUAAUAAUUAGUGUUUCAGGACCAAAGUUGACUAAAUAUGGAAGUUUAAGAUAAAACCCGGUUUCUUAGGGAAUCUUUCUCAGUCCUUAGUAAUUCUGUAGAAUUGAUGAUAGAGUGGCAACUUCAAUACACUCAGUAUUCUUUUCUGUUUGAAGUCUGUUUUGCCAUUGGAAAAAACUUAUUGUUGUUUGAAUUUGGGUAUAUGUAUUCACAGAUGGUUUACUUUAUUUUUAUUUUGUUUAAACAAAUACUUUCAUGUCCCAAACACUGAGACAUGUUUCAUGUCCUAAACACUUUAUAAAUAUUAGAAUAUUUAAUCCCCUUAACUCUGUAGUUAUAAUUAUCUUCAUUUUACAAUUGAGAAAACUAAGAUACGACGUUUUAUUUAAUGGUAACGCCUUAAGUAAGGGGAGAGUGAUAAGUGUAAGCAGAGUGGAAAACUUAGUAGUGCUAAGGAGCAACAGAAGUAUGUGCAAGAGUUUGGGAAGAUGUGUCUGCUUGGAAAGGAUCAGGGACUCAGCUGGGAUCAGUCUUAAAGAGCAACAUGUCCUCAUUCCUCAAUUUUAAGCCUUUGGGCUCUAGAAGUAAAGGGCAAACUUAGAGGAGGCACUCCUCAGGUUUCAGCUGCCUGUUCCGGCCUGGUGAGGUGGCUGUACUGGCUCAUGUGUUUCUCAUAGGGCUACAUGAGCCUUUAUGUCUUACCUCCUCCUCAUUUCUUGGCUGACUCCUGCUUUUUUGGAGGGUUUAACUUCUCUCUCAGCUAGAAGGUUAGGCAUUGCAAAUACCAGUGGAUAAUUUUUUUCUUAGCUUUAACCCCAGCCCAUUUCAACCCCCUCUUUGCCCUUUGUAUAUUCUUUUGAAAAUAUGAUCCAGUAGUGUUUAUGAAUGUGUGUUGUGUAAAAUUUAGAGAUUGAUGUUAAACAACAGAAUUAAAGGACAAAGCUGUCUUUUUUGUUGGAAUUGGGGAUGGGAGAGCAGCUCAAAGUGGGAAAUAUGGAGAAAGGAGAGACAUUGUGGAAAAGAAGAGAUAAAUUGAGGGGAAAAAAAGAGGAUGAAAAAAUGAAGAGAGAGAAUUACUGAUGUGCUUCACACCCACACCUCCUCUCCAACUUCACAGUAACAGAGGCAAUGUCACUAUCUUUUACCUGACAAGUGCUUUACCAGGGAGUUGUGCCUGGCAUCGUGGGAGUGGAAAAUUUUUCCCUUUUGCAUUUUGAGACUUGGGUGUGCUGCUUUAAGAUGCCACUGGUAUCUAAGUAAUGUUUGUUUAUACUGGAUAUUUUUCUCUGUAGCCUUUGUGGAUUGGACUUAUAAUAUAAACAAUAUUGUUAGCAGAACUGCAGGUACUCUAUUGCUAUGUUUAUUUUAUUAGUUAAAAAACUACCAGAGCCCUAGGACUUCUGAGCACAUUUAGAAAAUACCAGAGGCAAUUUUAAGACUAGCAUUAGAAAGAAAGAAAAGAAUAAGAAUAAAACUAAGACUUGCAUACCUUAGAAUCCUAACCAAUGUGGUGAUUUUUAAAAAUUAAUGUUUCAGAGACUCUAAAUUAGGGUAGUUGGUUUCAUCAAUUACAUUUUUUAAGUUAAUAUAAAGUGCUUUUGUAUGUAAAUUCUCUUAAUAGAUAAUUUAGGUAAAAUGAAAGUGUGGCAUUUUUUGUUCCAUAGAAUGUAAAACUAACGUCAGAAUAAGAAUUCUUUUGGGAAUUUAGGAUUUUUUUGAUGCUUCUCAAAUCAUCUGUAAUGACUUUUAUUUAUAGAAAAGGUAGAUUAUUCAUUAGUUUUUAUGAAAAACACUCAGUUUAAAUAGCCGGGUAUGGUGGCGCAUGGCUGUAGUCCCAGCUACUCAGGAGGCUGGGCACGAGAAUUGCUUGAACCUGUGAGGCAGAGGUUGCAGUGAGCCAAGAUCGCACCACUGCACUCCAGCCUGGUCCAGAGUGAGAUUCCGUCUCGAACAAAACAAAACAAAAAUAUUGAGCUAAUCUAAAUGGUAAAAAUCUAGAUUUGAAGAAAUUUAUUUUAAAAUAGUUGUUCAUUUGUCAAAUAGAAAAGUAUGAUCUUAGCAGGUUUGGUUAGAUCCCUAUCUGAAACAAAGUAAACUAAAGAUGUUUUUCUUGAUCAAUGCAUAGCAAUAACUGCUGUUCAAACAUGUGAGGAAUCACCAGUAAAUUGGGGGAUAGAAAGCAGGAAAAGGAGCUUUUUUCUCUUAUUUUUUUUCAUUUAUCAGUUUUUCCCAUUUGUCCAUCCUUUCCUAUAAUCAUGGAAAUUUUUAUUUUUUACACUCCUCUCCCCAUUUUUUUAUCCUAGAUUGCCACCACACCAAGGUUUUCUAGAGUUAGGCAGAAAGAGAACCUGGGCCUAGAUGCUAAUGGAAACUAUCCCAUGCUUUCUCAGACUCUCUUUCCUCCCCAGAGACAAGAGGAGCAAAACAGGAGUUGAUGGCUCAUUGCUGUUGCUUCUGUGGCUGCCCUGUUUGGUUGACCUGAGCUUUUUUUAAAAACCUCCACUCUUGACGCUUAACUCUAUGAAUAAAAUUAGGGCCAGUCACACUGUAUUUUCAUCAUCAGUUAUCCCUAGUGAUUCAAAUUUAGCACAAACCUGCUGUGAGUACAUAUUAAUUAGGUGAAUACAGUAGAAUGCAAUCAUAACAUGAGUCUUUUAAUAACUAUUCUUUGUUUGAUUUUUAUUUUAGAAGUUUGAAGUUAUUUUGUUGAAAAUCUAGAAAAUCUUUAUGUGAGCAACUGAGGUUCGGGUAGCCCACAACAGUUUAAAUCAAACAUUAACUUGCAGUAAAACACUACUGAAAGUGUCUUUGAUUUUGAGGUGCAGAGAGCUGUUUCAAGUUAAGUUGCUAUAUUAGUCUGUUCUCAUGCUGCUAAUAAAGACAUACCUGCAACCGGGCAAUUUAUUAAAAAAAAAAAGAGGUUUAAUUGACUGACAGUUCCACAUGGCUGGGGAGGCCUCACCGUCAUGGUGAAAGAGCAAGGGAUGUCUUACAUGGUGGCAGGCAAGAAGUUUGUGCAGAGGAACUCCUGUUUAUAAAACCACCAGAUCUCAUGAGACUUACUCACUACCAGGAGAACAGGAUGCGGGAAACCACCUCGGUGAUUCAGUUAUCUGCACCUGGCCCCACCCUUGACACAUGUUGAUUAUUACAAUUCAAGGUGAGAUUUGGGUAGGUACACAGCCAAACCAUAUCAGCUGCCCAUUCUCCUGUGCAGUGACAUAAAGGUCUGAUAACCUGAUUUAAAGCUUGGACUCUAAGAUUUUUUUUUUUCUUUUUUUGAGUCAGGUUAUCUCUGUCGCUCAAGCUGGAGUUCAGUGGCAUGAACAGGGCUCAUUGCAGCCUCAACCUUCCAGGUUCAAGUGAUUCUCUUGCCUCAACCUCCUGAGUAUCUGGGGCUACAGGCAUGUGCCACCGUGCCAGGCUAAUAUUUUUAUUUUUAUUUUUGUAAAGAUGGGGUCUCACUUCUGGGCUCAAGCAAUCUUUCCUCAGCCUCCCAAAGUGCUGGGAUUAUAGGUGCGAGCCACUGCACCCUGCUGUAAAGAAUUUCAUAUCCCUGUUUUCGGUGUGCUGUGUCACUGUUUGCCAUGGGUAAAGGUAUAUGAAUCUCUUUUAUUUUGCUGCUUGCAACCCAAUUCCCAUGCCAAACCCAAUUUGUAUCCAAACAAACAAUAUUGGAGACAAGUUCUUCUAUAGAAAGCUUCAUAAGCCAGUUACUGACUACUGUGUCUGUAAAUAUACUCAAACUAUUUUGUAGUCUUGCUAUUUUAAAAAAUGUGUGGGUGUGGGAAGUGAUGUUGAAUGAAUUCAGGGUAAUUGGUGGUUCUUUGUAUUAGGAAAACUCACUAGUUAAGGGAAGUCUGUUUUCAUGAUUCAUGUAUGUUUAACUUAAAAAAAAAUUCUUCCAUCCUUCUCUCCAGUUUCCACUCUACCUCAUAAAUUCAAGUAAUGAAGGAAUUUAAAUAAUAGAAUUUUAUAACUGAAAGGAUUUUGGAGAGAAUCUAUUAACCCUCCUACUACAGUUGAGGAAAUAGAUGUCCAGUGAGGUCAAAUGAGAUCAUGUAGCUAGUUUAAAAACCCAAAUAACAUUUUAGUAGUUUGUUUCCAUUAGUAAACACUGUUCUGUUUGAUUUGCCCUAACAUGUUCAUAAUCAGAGUCAUAAUAAGGAAAAAUCACUAAUAUGUGUGUGGUACUUUCUUGUGCAUACCUCAGUCACUUCUCAAAAGAGGUCUGUAAGGUGUCGGUAUCCUGGUUUCCAUUCAGGGAGAGAACAGUCUAUGAGCCUAAGAGACCUGUCUGUGCCAGUCACUAUCAGAACAGUCUAAUGCUAUGUGUCUUCCUACCUUGGCAAAAGCAUUGGCUGGUCUCUGGACAGUUCUCAUAGACCACAGGAUUGGGCAGGGGGGAGCCACAUCUUCAUGUUAGGGCUCUAACCUGUACCAAUUAUUAACUGUUGUCUCUAUUUCAUCAUUUCUUAAAGGGAAAAAAAAGCACUUUUUAAAGAGCAUGAGAUUUUAAAUUUUUCAAAAGAAGGAUGCUGGAUCAUUAUAAGUAAGGCAUGUUUUAAAGAUCUUCUUAUCAACAGCUUAAAAAUUAGCCAGUAUAUACUGAACAUCCACUGUAUAAAAAGCACAUUAUGGGGUGCUCCAGUAGGUACAGCAGUGAUCGAGACAGAAUCAUAGCCUUCAGGGAAGAGGUAUAUGCAAUGUUCUCUCCUUCCAAAGAUUACCUAGAUAGAGAACUGUUCAUAAGAAAUAUCUUGGUACUGUCUACAUUACUCUUGAGAUAUAAAAUAUAUAUUAUUUCUUACGUCUGAAAUGAGUCAGUUGUUUCUAAAACAAUUUGUAUUAAAGUAUUCACAUUAAAAAUUUGUAAAAUACAGAAAAGUAGAGAGAAAAAAUCAUGAAUUUUUAACAUGGUAAUGAUUAUAUCAGUUUCGUUCUUGGCGUUUCUUUAACUUGAUGGGAUAGCUAAUGUUUUUUGUCAUUGCAUAGCUUUGUAAACUUGUCCUAAGGAUUAUAUAAUUUCAGCAUGAGUUAGUUUCUAAGUAUGUCAGAAAUCUAGCUUUUUUGUGGUAAUUGUUGUUUUACACAAAAUGAUUAAUAAAAGACUCUAAACUAACCUUGGCUUUAGAAAUGCUUUUUAAAUUUUAAAAUAGUGAAUGAGUAGCAGAUUACUUUCUAGUAUUUCUUUAAGGUCACCAAAAUCACUUAACUUGCUUAAAAUAUUGAUGGAAAUAUCAACUACGUACAGUUGACCUAAAUUAGAAAUGGGUGUUUUUUAAAUAGUGAAAUUUAUAAAUAUAAUAUGUAUAUUUUAAAAUACAGUUUAUAUUAUAGAGUUAUGUUCCUCUGUAAUAAUUUCUCUUUACACUGAAUCAUGUUCAGUUUUUAUUAUGCAGAUAAUUUAAUCUUACAGCUUUGAUCUUUUUUAAAAAAUAAAACAGCCAUUUGGAGUCUAAAUUCAGCCAUGUGAUUAUUACAAUGAAAUUCAUCUUAAAUCUACCUAAUGUCCCUUUAGAUAUAAGACCUAUUUCAAUAGAAGGGCGUUUCUUGGUUAGGGUUGCUCUUCCCGAGAGGAGUCUCCUGGAGCAGGAGCCCCUGGGGAGGAGUGAACUGAGCCAGCAGGUGGUCUAAGGGAGGUGCCAGGGAACUGCUGACAGUGACUUGCCUGAAGGAAGGGAGGGAGCAGGAUGGGAGUGGGGUGGAAAGUCCCUUAUUAGCCUGGAGGCUGGGAUGCCCUGACCCUCUGGAAUCCCCCUCCCUUGUAAGAAUGCCAGCCAAAGUAGGAAGGAGGAGCUCCAGCCAGAUGGGGGUCCCAGUGCAGGAGGAAGAUAGUAGGGUGACCACAACCAAAAAAGCUGUCUGACAGGCUUUGAGAUCUCUUGUCUGAGGAACUCCGGCAUAGAUAGUAAGUCAGUAUUCACUUAGAGGAGAGUUUGGCAAGUGAAUAUAUAUGAUGAAUGAAUGAGUAACUGAAUGAACUGCUUUAUCACCAAAGGAUCUGGAUAUUUGUUUCUACUCUCAAACAUUUUUUGAUUUGUUAACUUUUUAUGCCCAAUUUUAAAAGAAAAUGCAAUUUUCAUUGAACUAUGAUUGACUACUUCAUAUUUAUUGAAACCCACACCCUCCAGUACUCCACAAAUGAUUCAGAAAAGCUUACAAUAAAAAAAAUCAGAAUAGAAAAGUGAGUAACGGAUGUGAUUUCAAUUCUCCAAGCCUGUUGUCCUUAUCUGUGAUGGUAAUGAUUAUAGAUGCCUUAUCUUGCUGUGGCAGGGAUGAAAUGAGAUCAUGUGCAGGCAUUAUUUGUCAUACAACAAAUACAUAGUUGAGGUUGUAUUAAAAUUAAGGCUUUAAACUUGAGUACAUACACUUUUGCUUAAUUCUCAAUUUAUUUUUCAUUACCAUUUUAUCAGAGAAUGAUAUUUAAGCGAUACUCAUUUCUAGAGUAGAAGAGAUUUUAUUCCUUAUAACUGUAAACUCUAUACUAUCCAAGAUAAUACUCUUCUUCCUAGAAUUUGAAUUCGUUAACAAUCUUUCACAUUUUCACAAUCCAUGGGAAAUCACUCCCAGUAAAUGCUUACAGCAUUCGUCCACUUUCAUGAGGCAAGGAGUAGGUAGGUCUGUAUUUGUAUUAAUUACAAAGAAAUUCAAGGGAAGGUUCAUCAUUAUCAUCGUUAGCAGGAAAUAUAAUGAAUUAGAAGCCCUUGAAUUGGACUAAAAGAGUGUGGAGUAUGUGUAAAAGAAUGAAUCAGAGAAGGUAAAGAUUAAUUUUAAAGGGCAGAAUUUUGUUUGUACAUUUAGGUCACUUCAAUUUCAGAUCAGUUCUAUGUAUGCUUUCUAGAAAAGAUAUCAAAGACCACCUAGAUUUCUUGCCUUUAGGUGUGUUUUACCAAAGGAACAAGACAGAAGAUGAAUGCCAAAACUAUUAAUGCAGCUACCCUGGACACUAAGCCCCCAAAGAGAUGGAGGAUUGGAGGAUGUAGAGCCUGGGCACUGGGUCCAGUGCUGACAUGGAACAUGUUCAUUCUUAGAGUUUCACUGCAAACACUCCAAGGAUAGAGAGCGAGAAGGUUAUGUGGACAUGAGAGGAGAAGGGUGGAAGAGGAUUGAAUGGUUCAGGGUAGCUAAAAAAAAUUUUUACACUUUAUCUCGGGCUGCUUCUAAACCCUCCACCAGAAAGAAUUAAUCCUGCAAGCACUUAAAACAAAACUGAUGUGAGGAAGAUAAUAAAACCUGUCCAGGGUACAGACAUCCAGAUUUGCAAUUUAGGGUGGGAAGACUUUAGAGACCUUGUCUAACAGGGCUAAAGAGUAUCCUUAUGGUUUUAAAGUAGGUACAUUGUUUUUUGUAAGCAUUUCUAGGGUUAUAUAAGACAAAUCAGAGUCUGAUGUAUUGAACACAAUUGGAUCUUAUUCUGCCAUAUUUGUUUUUAAUUCACGAUUUUUAAAUGGAUUUACUGGUCAUAUUUCUCAGGUCAUGGCAAGAUUUUUUAGUCUUAAACUUAUUUAGCUCAGUCCUUCUAGAUCAAUGGUUCUCUGCCCUGAAGGUGUAGCAAAAUUGUUUGAUAGCUUUUGCAAAAUUUACAUACCCAGCAGCCUCCCCAUCAGCUGAAUAAGAAUUGCAAUGUGGAUGUGGCAGAGGCAAUCAGGUAUGUGGGGUUAGAAGAAGCUGUCCUGGUCAUUCUGUUGCCACCCUCUCACUUGGAGAAUUGCUGAUCCAAUGAAUUCCUUAACAUAACUUUGAAAACACAGCGUUUUGCUCAGAACUUCAUGAAUAAACAUCAAAUUUUCACUAAACAAAAUAAUUAAAGACCAUAAGAUCUUAGUUAUAAUACUUCAUAAAUGGAAAAGCACUUUAUUGCCUGUAUGUAUGUGGGCUCCUCUUUUAGCAAGAUAUGAGCUAGGUGAAGUCUAUGUGAAAGCUAAAGCAGAUUUAUUCCAGUCAGAUGCCAGACAAUUUUACCAGUUUAACUGAGACUCAUUAUUACUUAAACUACAUGCUUGUUUUUUUGGUUACUGAGUAGUAUAGGUCCCACUUGGAUCAGCAAUUCUCAAAGUGAGAGGGUGGCAAUAGAAUUAUUUAAGUAAUUAUUUGUUAUUUGAGGUUGUUUGCUUAGUAUUUACUUGUCACUGUUUUACAUGUUAUUUAAUAAUUUACAGUUAUUUAAAAGUGGUAAGAUUCCAAGGCAAGUAGGGGACCUGUCACUUUGAGAAAAAUUUAUGGUGGUAAAAAUAUUUUCUUUUUGUAAAGAGUCACUGAUAUACAAUGUCCCCCCAGGGUGUAAGCCUUGGUAUUUAUCUAUUUUAAUUAAAGAGUACUCUGCCUGUCUAGUCGUGGCUAACUUAAAAGAAGUGGGUAUCUUGGUGAGAAGUUCACAAGGUUGGUAGCCAUAGCUGAGUUUGGUGGAUUGACUCAAGCUCUAGUCAGCAGUGGUAUAUGAAUGCCAAGUACUAAGAAUUUCUGGAAUGUAGAAUUGCACAGCACUGAUAAAGUUUGCUUUGUUCCCCUGUGUGACUUGACCCAUUGAGAAAACUGGUUCCCUAGGAAGUUUUAAUAGUUCAAAGUCCUUAGUUAAUAAAGAAAAAGGCCACAACAUAAUUCAGCUUGUUUUCACCUGCUGACUCAAAGAUUAACUUUUUUAACCUUAAUGGGAUAGAGUUACCCUUUGCUUUGAGAAAGUAAUUUAUGGAGUUCUUCAUAUUUGUUAGUUUCAGUAAACAUGAUGCUUUUUGUGUGGAUUUUAUUUUUGUUUCGGGUUUGAGAUCACAAACUACUAAGACUUACACAAUUUAAGAACCUUACGGUAACUUCAUCUAAAAACAAAUCUCAGGGAAAGGCACACCCACUUUUCUGUAUCAACUUAAUCUUUCACUAGAUUCAGAAUGGUUUUGAAUUACUUCAGGAAAGUAGUGACUGAUAGAGCUUAACCUUCAGUUUUCCUCAUUUAUUUUCAUAAGAGAAUGGGAGUGGAAUUCAAAACAUUCAAAUUUGGAGUUAAUGUGCGUCACUGUUGUGAGUGAUAGGUUCUGUGUUUUUCCAGUGGGAAACUUUGAUCCACAUACUGAUAUAUGCCUGUGUUAUACCUCGUUAUUCUUUUCUGUUUUUCUCCUGAUUGUUGCUUACUCUUUCAAAAAUCAGCUGACUGUACAAGUCCUCUCUGGGAGCAGACUUUAGAGCAAAAGUGAUCUAUAAAAGCAGCAUGUAAGUCUUUUUUUUUUUUGUCAGAGUUUAUAACUUUCCAAGUAGACCUUUUAUAUUUUCACGGUAGUCUAAGUUCACUCAACUGCAGUAUUUGAUGUUAAAUGUACGCUUUACGCUGUUAAGAUAAUUUAGUUUCUGUGUUUGGUCACUUUUGCUUAAAGGAUUGUAAUUACAUAAUGCAUGUUGAAAUCAUAUUAAGUAACCUGGCCACUUGCCUAUUUACUUCUUGUGGCUAACAAUAAUGAAUGAAACCAUUUAUAUAUGUUGUUUUAGUAUAUCACAAAAUUUUAUAGAAACUAGAAGCUCGGUGAUGAAUAAUAGACAUCCAUGAGCCUUCUUAUUUGUUUUGAAUUUGAGACAUUUUCUAGAAUAUUGCUGUUUGAAUGAGGCUUCAGUACUUUACAGAAUCGUUGCCUGCACAUCUUGGAAACACUUGCUGGGAUUACUUCUUCAGGUUAACCCAACAGAAGGCUAAAGAAGGUAUAUUGCUGUUGACAGUGAGCGACUGUAAACAUCCUCGACUGGAAGCUGUGAAGCCACAGAUGGGCUUUCAGUCGGAUGUUUGCAGCUGCCUACUGCCUCGGACUUCAAGGGGCUACUUUAGGAGCAAUUAUCUUGUUUACUAAAACUGAAUACCUUGCUAUCUCUUUGAUACAUUUUUACAAAGCUGAAUUAAAAUGGUAUAAAUUAAAUCA
rnacentral:lncRNA from 1 species